CAGCUAUGAGAUGCAUCUGGGUCCAGCUUAAAGCGGCUCGCGUUGUGUGGCGCGCCGCGAUCCCUUAUCCGCUCGCCUGCCAGCCGGGCCUUUUCGCACUUGUUUCCUAAGUCAAGUUCGAACCUGCAGCUGGCUGUGCAUAUCUUGCUAAGUGAUAGCGCGGUUGUACGCGGUUUGAGUACGCUGCUCAACUGGUGUACUGACACGUUUGCUUGCCGUUUCCCCUGGUGCCCCUUCGCCCCUGCAGCCGCGCCUCGUCGGCCACCAACCGCGUGAGCCCCACCCGCUCCGUCCUGCCCGCCAACUGGCGCCAGGAGCUGGAGAGCCUGCGCAACGGCAACGGCUCCUCCUCGGCUGCCUCGUCGGCCCCCGCCCCGGCCCGCUCCUCGUCGGCCAGCUGGCGCGACGCCGCCCCGGCCUCGUCGGCCCCUGCCCGCUCCAGCUCUGCCUCCAAGAAGGCCGUGACCCCGUCGCGCAGCGCCCUGCCCUCCAACUGGAAGCAGGAGCUGGAGAGCCUGCGCAGCAGCUCCCCCGCCCCCGCCUCGUCGGCCCCCGCCCCGGCCCGCUCCUCGUCGGCCAGCUGGCGUGAUGCCGCCCCGGCCUCGUCGGCCCCCGCCCGCUCCAGCUCCUCCAAGAAGGCUGUGACCCCGUCGCGCAGCGCCCUGCCCUCCAACUGGAAGCAGGAGCUGGAGAGCCUGCGCAGCAGCUCCCCCGCCCCCGCCUCGUCGGCCCCUGCCCCGGCCCGCUCCUCGUCGGCCAGCUGGCGUGACGCCGCCCCGGCCUCGUCGGCCCCUGCCCGCUCCAGCUCUGCCUCCAAGAAGGCCGUGACCCCGUCGCGCAGCGCCCUGCCCUCCAACUGGAAGCAGGAGCUGGAGAGCCUGCGCAGCAACUCCCCUGCCCCCGCCUCGUCGGCCCCUGCCCCGGCCCGCUCCUCGUCGGCCAGCUGGCGUGACGCCCCCGCCUCGAGCUCCAGCUCGAGCGCCGACAAGGCCGGCACCAACCC
rnacentral:lncRNA from 1 species